rnacentral:rRNA from 1 species
UACGGAGGGAGCUAGCGUUGUUCGGAAUUACUGGGCGUAAAGCGCGCGUAGGCGGCUAUUUAAGUCGGGGGUGAAAUCCCGGGGCUCAACCCCGGAACUGCCUCCGAAACUGCAUAGCUAGAAUAUCGGAGAGGUAAGUGGAAUUCCGAGUGUAGAGGUGAAAUUCGUAGAUAUUCGGAAGAACACCAGUGGCGAAGGCGACUUACUGGACGAUGAUUGACGCUGAGGUGCGAAAGCGUGGGGAGCAAACAGG